rnacentral:rRNA from 1 species
AGUCUGACGCAGCUAUGCCGCGAUGCAGUGACGAAGGCCUUAGGGUUGUAAAGCUCCCUUUAACAAGAAGAAAAUGUC